CCUACGGGAGGCAGCAGUGGGGAAUAUUGGGCAAUGGGCGCAAGCCUGACCCAGCAACGCCGCGUGAAGGAAGAAGGCUCUCGGGUUGGAAACUUCUUUUGUUAGGGGCGAAGCAAGUGACGGUACCUGACGAAUAAGCCACGGCCAAAUACGUGCCAGCAGCCGCGGUAAUCCGUAGGUGGCAAGCUUUAUCCGGAUUUAUUGGGUGUAAAGGGCGUGUAGGCGGGAAUGCAAGGCAGAUGUGAAAACUAUUGGCUCAACCCUAAGACUGCAUUUGAAACUGUAUGUCGGGAGUGUUGGAGAGGCAGUCGGAAUUCUGGGUGUAGCGGUGAAAUGCGUAGAGAUACGGAGGAACACCAGUUGCGAAGGCGAAUUGCUGGACAGUAACUGACGCUGAGGCGCGAAAGCGUGGGGAGCAAACAGGAUUAGAUACCCUGGUAGUC
rnacentral:rRNA from 1 species